rnacentral:rRNA from 1 species
UAAUACGUAGGGGGCCAGCGUUGUCCGAAGUUACUGGGCGUAAAGAGCGCGUAGGCGGGUCUUUAAGUGAGUGGUGAAAGGUUCGGGCUCAACCCGGACACUGCCUUUCAUACUGGGGACCUUGAGUGCGGGAGGGGCGAGUGGAAUGGUCGGUGUAGCGGUGAAAUGCGUAGAUAUCGAUCGGAACACCCAUGGCGAAGGCAGCUCGCUGGCCUGCAACUGACGCUGAGGCGCGAAAGCUGGGGGAGCAAACAGGAUUAGAUACCCUGGUAGUCCCAGCCGUAAACGAUGAGUGCUAGGUGUAAGGGGUAUCGACCCCCCUUGUGCCGCAGCUAACGCAAUAAGCACUCCGCCUGGGGAGUACGGCCGCAAGGUUG